rnacentral:tRNA from 1 species
CCCUGUAGCUCAGUUGGUAGAGCAUGGUGUUUGCAACGCCAGGGGUGUGGGUUCGAUUCCCACAGGGG